CAUGGCUCAGGACGAACGCUGGCGGCGUGCUUAACACAUGCAAGUCGAGCGGAAAGGCCCUUUCGGGGGUACUCGAGCGGCGAACGGGUGAGUAACACGUGAGUAAUCUGCCCUUGGUUUUGGGAUAACUACCGGAAACGGUGGCUAAUACCGGAUAUGACCAUGCUCGGCAUCGGGUGUGGUGGAAAGUUUUUUCGGCCAGGGAUGUGCUCGCGGCCUAUCAGCUUGUUGGUGGGGUAAUGGCCUACCAAGGCUUCGACGGGUAGCCGGCCUGAGAGGGUGACCGGCCACACUGGGACUGAGACACGGCCCAGACUCCUACGGGAGGCAGCAGUGGGGAAUAUUGGACAAUGGGCGGAAGCCUGAUCCAGCAACGCCGCGUGAGGGAUGACGGCCUUCGGGUUGUAAACCUCUUUCAGUACCGACGAAGCGCCGAUGAUGGUGGUGACGGUAGGUACAGAAGAAGCACCGGCCAACUACGUG
rnacentral:rRNA from 1 species